rnacentral:rRNA from 1 species
ACCUGCGGAGGGAUCAUUACUGAGUUUACGCUCUACAACCCUUUGUGAACAUACCUAUAACUGUUGCUUCGGCGGGUAGGGUCUCCGUGACCCUCCCGGCCUCCCGCCCCCGGGCGGGUCGGCGCCCGCCGGAGGAUAACCAAACUCUGAUUUAACGACGUUUCUUCUGAGUGGUACAAGCAAAUAAUCAAAACUUUUAACAACGGAUCUCUUGGUUCUGGCAUCGAUGAAGAACGCAGCGAAAUGCGAUAAGUAAUGUGAAUUGCAGAAUUCAGUGAAUCAUCGAAUCUUUGAACGCACAUUGCGCCCGCCAGCAUUCUGGCGGGCAUGCCUGUUCGAGCGUCAUUUCAACCCUCAAGCUCUGCUUGGUGUUGGGGCCCUACAGCUGAUGUAGGCCCUCAAAGGUAGUGGCGGACCCUCCCGGAGCCUCCUUUGCGUAGUAACUUUACGUCUCGCACUGGGAUCCGGAGGGACUCUUGCCGUAAAACCCCCAAUUUUCCAAAGGUUGACCUCGGAUCAGGUAGGAAUACCCGCUGAACUUAAGCAUAUCAAUAAGCGGAGGA